UACGUAGGGGGCAAGCGUUGUCCGGAAUCAUUGGGCGUAAAGCGCGCGUAGGCGGCCCGGUAAGUCCGCUGUAAAAGUCCAGGGCUCAACCCUGGAAAGCCGGUGGAUACUGUCGGGCUAGAGUCCGGAAGAGGCGACGUGGAAUUCCUGGUGUAGCGGUGGAAUGCGCAGAUAUCAGGAGGAACACCGAUGGCGAAGGCAGCUCGCUGGGACGGUACUGACACCUGAGGCGCGAAAGCGUGGGGAGCGAACAGG
rnacentral:rRNA from 1 species